rnacentral:misc_RNA from 1 species
GUAACAAGGUUUCCGUAGGUGAACCUGCGGAAGGAUCAUUAGUGAAUAUAGGACGUCCAACUUAACUUGGAGUCCGAACUCUCACUUUCUAACCCUGUGCAUUUGUUUGGGAUAGUAACUCUCGCAAGAGGGCGAACUCCUAUUCACUUAUAAACACAAAGUCUAUGAAUGUAUUAAAUUUUAUAACAAAAUAAAACUUUCAACAACGGAUCUCUUGGCUCUCGCAUCGAUGAAGAACGCAGCGAAAUGCGAUAAGUAAUGUGAAUUGCAGAAUUCAGUGAAUCAUCGAAUCUUUGAACGCACCUUGCGCUCCAUGGUAUUCCGUGGAGCAUGCCUGUUUGAGUGUCAUGAAUACUUCAACCCUCCUCUUUCUUAAUGAUUGAAGAGGUGUUUGGUUUCUGAGCGCUGCUGGCCUUUAGGGUCUAGCUCGUUCGUAAUGCAUUAGCAUCCGCAAUCGAACUUCGGAUUGACUUGGCGUAAUAGACUAUUCGCUGAGGAAUUCUAGUCUUCGGACUAGAGCCGGGUUGGGUUAAAGGAAGCUUCUAAUCAGAAUGUCUACAUUUUAAGAUUAGAUCUCAAAUCAGGUAGGACUACCCGCUGAACUUAAGCAUAUCA